GACGAACGCUGGCGGCGUGCUUAACACAUGCAAGUCGAACGGAGUGGCAAACGGGUGAGUAACACGUAAACAACCUGCCUUAAGGAUGGGGAUAACAGACGGAAACGACUGCUAAUACCGAAUACCUUAAGAGGGGUUUGCGACUGAUUAGGUAGUUGGUGGGGUAACGGCUCACCAAGCCGACGAUAAGUAGCCGGUCUGAGAGGAUGAACGCCCACACUGGAACUGAGACACGGUCCAGACUCCUACGGGAGGCAGCAGUGGGGAAUAGUGCACAAUGGGCGCAAGCCUGAUGCAGCCAUGCCGCGUGUAUGAAGAAGGCCCUAGGGUUGUAAAGUACUUUCAGUCGGGAGGCGUUACCGACAGAAGAAGCACCGGCUAACUCCGUGCCAGCAGCCGCGGUAAUA
rnacentral:rRNA from 1 species